rnacentral:rRNA from 1 species
GUGGGGAAUCUUGCCCAAUGGGCGCAAGCCUGAGGCAGCAACGCCGCGUGCGGGAAGAAGGCCCUAGGGUUGUAAACCGCUUUCGCCAGGGACGAAAAUGACGGUACCUGGAGAAGAAGGUGCGGCCAACUACGUGCCAGCAGCCGCGGUGACACGUAGGCACCAAGCGUUGUCCGGAUUUAUUGGGCGUAAAGAGCUCGUAGGCGGUUCGGUUAGUCGGGUGUGAAAUCCUUGGGCUUAACCCAAGAACUGCACCCGAUACUGCUGUGACUCGAGUCCGGUAGAGGAGUGUGGAAUUCCUGGUGUAGCGGUGGAAUGCGCAGAUAUCAGGAGGAACACCAACGGCGAAGGCAGCACUCUGGGCCGGUACUGACGCUGAGGAGCGAAAGCGUGGGGAGCGAACAGGAUUAGAAACCCUAGUAGUCC